rnacentral:lncRNA from 1 species
UAUCGUAAGGAACCGCUUUAUUCCAGCCAAACUCGGGCUACUACCUCGAGGAUUAAACUGUGCUGCUGGUGAUGAUAUAUGCAGAUGGAAAAGAUGUGCAGAUGAUGAAGUUGAAAAUCGGGCAUGUGUUGUGCCCAUGCUAAUUCUCUCUCGCUGUGGAAGCGGCCGCCUGGCUGCGCGAAGCCAUCAUCUGGUGCUGUGUACAGCAAGCACAUGCUUCGGGCAAGGAGGGAGGCAGCACCAUAUCUACAUCAGCAAGAACCUCGGUGCUCAAAAUAAACAUUUUCUGUGCAAAUA